CGAACGCUGGCGGCGUGCUUAACACAUGCAAGUCGAACGGAAAGGCCCUGCUUUUGUGGGGUGCUCGAGUGGCGAACGGGUGAGUAACACGUGAGUAACCUGCCCUUGACUUUGGGAUAACUUCAGGAAACUGGGGCUAAUACCGGAUAGGAGCUCCUGCUGCAUGGUGGGGGUUGGAAAGUUUCGGCGGUUGGGGAUGGACUCGCGGCUUAUCAGCUUGUUGGUGGGGUAGUGGCUUACCAAGGCUUUGACGGGUAGCCGGCCUGAGAGGGUGACCGGCCACAUUGGGACUGAGAUACGGCCCAGACUCCUACGGGAGGCAGCAGUGGGGAAUAUUGCACAAUGGGCGGAAGCCUGAUGCAGCAACGCCGCGUGCGGGAUGACGGCCUUCGGGUUGUAAACCGCUUUCGCCUGUGACGAAGCGUGAGUGACGGUAAUGGGUAAAGAAGCACCGGCUAACUACGUGCCAGCAGCCGCGGUGAUACGUAGGGUGCGAGCGUUGUCCGGAUUUAUUGGGCGUAAAGGGCUCGUAGGUGGUUGAUCGCGUCGGAAGUGUAAUCUUGGGGCUUAACCCUGAGCGUGCUUUCGAUACGGGUUGACUUGAGGAAGGUAGGAGAGAAUGGAAUUCCUGGUGGAGCGGUGGAAUGCGCAGAUAUCAGGAGGAACACCAGUGGCGAAGGCGGUUUCUCUGGGCCUUUCCUGACGCUGAGGAGCGAAAGCGUGGGGAGCGAACAGGCUUAGAUACCCUGGUAGUCCACGCUGUAAACGGUGGGUACUAGGUGUGGGGUCCAUUCCACGGGUUCCGUGCCGUAGCUAACGCUUUAAGUACCCCGCCUGGGGAGUACGGCCGCAAGGCUAAAACUCAAAGGAAUUGACGGGGCCCCGCACAAGCGGCGGAGCAUGCGGAUUAAUUCGAUGCAACGCGUAGAACCUUACCUGGGUUUGACAUGGAUCGGGAGUGCUCAGAGAUGGGUGUGCCUCUUUUGGGGUCGGUUCACAGGUGGUGCAUGGCUGUCGUCAGCUCGUGUCGUGAGAUGUUGGGUUAAGUCCCGCAACGAGCGCAACCCUUGUUCACUGUUGCCAGCACGUUAUGGUGGGGACUCAGUGGAGACCGCCGGGGUCAACUCGGAGGAAGGUGGGGAUGACGUCAAGUCAUCAUGCCCCUUAUGUCCAGGGCUUCACGCAUGCUACAAUGGCUGGUACAGAGAGUGGCGAGCCUGUGAGGGUGAGCGAAUCUCGGAAAGCCGGUCUCAGUUCGGAUUGGGGUCUGCAACUCGACCUCAUGAAGUCGGAGUCGCUAGUAAUCGCAGAUCAGCAACGCUGCGGUGAAUACGUUCCCGGGGCUUGUACACACCGCCCGUCAAGUCAUGAAAGUUGGUAACACCCGAAGCCGGUGGCCUAACCGUUGUGGGGGAGCCGUCGAAGGUGGGACUGGUGAUUAGG
rnacentral:rRNA from 1 species